CGUAAGGCGCCGAAUGAGUCAUUAAAAAAUUAACAUCAUCCGAUCCCUAGUCGGCAUAGUUUAUGGUUAAGACUACGACGGUAUCUGAUCGUCUUCGAUCCCCUAACUUUCGUUCUUGAUUAAUGAAAACAUCCUUGGCAAAUGCUUUCGCAGUAGUUAGUCUUCAAUAAAUCCAAGAAUUUCACCUCUGACAAUUGAAUACUAAUGCCCCCAACUAUCCCUAUUAAUCAUUACAUCGAUCCUAGAAACCAACAAAAUAGAAUCGGAUGUCCUAUUUCAUUAUUCCAUGCUAAUGUAUUCAAGCGUGAGCCUGCUUUAAACACUCUAAUUUUUUCAAGGUAACAGUCCUAAUUCCCCGUAACACCAAAUUAAUGGCAUUACGGUUCUUUAGAAGGUGAGAAAUCAAUGAUAACAGUGCAUACCAACGGCAUGACCGAAAUAUUGAUCCCGAAAUUCAACUACGAGCUUUUAACUGCAACAACUUUAAUAUACGCUAUUGGAGCUGGAAUUACCGCGGCUGCUGGCACCAGACUUGCCCUCCAAUUGUUUCUCGUUAAGAGAUUUAAAUUGUACUCAUUCCAAUUACAAGAUCCAAAAGAACCCUGUAUUGUUAUUUAUUGUCACUACCUCCCCGUGUCGGGAUUGGGUAAUUUGCGCGCCUGCUGCCUUCCUUGGAUGUGGUAGCCGUUUCUCAGGCUCCCUCUCCGGUGUCGUGCCCUAACACCCCGUUACCCGUUACCACCAUGGUAGGCC
rnacentral:rRNA from 1 species